rnacentral:rRNA from 1 species
CUGAGAGGAUGAUCCGCCACACUGGGACUGAGACACGGCCCAGACUCCUACGGGAGGCAGCAGUGGGGAAUAUUGGACAAUGGGCGGAAGCCUGAUCCAGCCAUGCCGCGUGUGUGAAGAAGGCCUUUUGGUUGUAAAGCACUUUAAGCGAGGAGGAGGCUACUAGUACUAAUACUACUGGAUAGUGGACGUUACUCGCAGAAUAAGCACCGGCUAACUCUGUGCCAGCAGCCGCGGUAAUACAGAGGGUGCGAGCGUUAAUCGGAUUUACUGGGCGUAAAGCGUGCGUAGGCGGCUUUUUAAGUCGGAUGUGAAAUCCCCGAGCUUAACUUGGGAAUUGCAUUCGAUACUGGGAAGCUAGAGUAUGGGAGAGGAUGGUAGAAUUCCAGGUGUAGCGGUGAAAUGCGUAGAGAUCUGGAGGAAUACCGAUGGCGAAGGCAGCCAUCUGGCCUAAUACUGACGCUGAGGUACGAAAGCAUGGGGAGCAAACAGGAUUAGAUACCCUGGUAGUCCAUGCCGUAAACGAUGUCUACUAG